rnacentral:rRNA from 1 species
CCUACGGGUGGCAGCAGUGGGGAAUAUUGCACAAUGGGGGAAACCCUGAUGCAGCAACGCCGCGUGAGUGAUGACGGCCUUCGGGUUGUAAAGCUCUGUCUUCAGGGACGAUAAUGACGGUACCUGAGGAGGAAGCCACGGCUAACUACGUGCCAGCAGCCGCGGUUAUACGUAGGUGGCGAGCGUUGUCCGGAUUUACUGGGCGUAAAGGGAGCGUAGGCGGACUUUUAAGUGAGAUGUGAAAUCCCGCGGCUCAACCGCAGAAUUGCAUUUGAAACUGUUUGUCUUGAGUACCGGAGAGGUCAUCGGAAUUCCUUGUGUAGCGGUGAAAUGCGUAGAUAUAAGGAAGAACACCAGUGGCGAAGGCGGAUGACUGGACGGCAACUGACGGUGAGGCGCGAAAGCGUGGGGAGCAAACAGGAUUAGAUACCCGGGUAGUC